UCGAGCCCAACUCUCUCGUUCUCUCAACACAAACGCCUCAAAACCCUAGGCCUCUCACCUGGAAGGAUGAAACUUCCAUAUUUUUGAUGAACAUACCAAGAACUAACAAUAACCUCUCCCUUGUAUUUCCAGAUUAUCCCUAAACUCACCAAAGCAAGAAGUAAAUAACGUAAUCCUUCACUAAUUCCCCCUAAAUACGAAUCUAUCAACUAUUCUCACAAACCAUUAAUUGUGGAUACGAAUUGAAGACUUGGAAAACCGAAUCCCGAAGUUCUAAGUUAGCCAAAAUGCACAUGUUAAGCACAAAAUUGGGACGGGGAAUCAUACAAAGCGUCUUCAGAAGCAAAAUAUUCCACCAAUUAAGCACGAAAUCGCAAAAAAAAAAAAGUACCAAAUCGGAGUAAGGAGGAGCUCUGGCACGGCGGUUCUUCUGCUCAGGCGACAAUGGUGGAUUCACAUGUACUACUUCUUCUCUCUUUUUCUCAGUUCCUCUUCUCACCUUCUUCUACUUCGUCGUUCUUUUCCUCGAAUUUGCUGUGAAGUGUUUUGAUGAGAAUUAAUGGUGAUUCUGCUUGUGAAUAUUGAAGAGUGGAGAUGUGGAACUGAGGUAGCUAGAAGGUGACACAUGGCAAGGCUUUGUUUAGUACAGCUGAAGCUUAGAGGUGAAACUUCAAUGGUGGUGUUAGUGCUCUAGGUGAAGGUAGCUAAUUUAGGGAGUGAAGAACUUUGAAGAAUCCAACUCUGAAGUUUUAUGGUGAAAAAAUGAAUCCCCCUGAGAAUGAACUAGGUGAGUUCCAUUUAUAGAAUUUUCUACCCUCCAAAUUCUGUUACAAAUUCGGUUAGAAGUUGAAUUGGAUGGAAAAUGGAAGUUAGGAGUUAGUUAACAAUUAGUUUGGAUGGAAAGUUUGUUAGAGGUUGGUUAACAAUGUUAGACAUUCAGUUAUGAUGUUGUUAGGAAUUUUGGUUAGUGAAAAACGAAGGUUAUUUAAUGCAGUUAGUGAAGUUGAGAAGGAUUGAAGUCAGUUGCUUGUUAAAAUUGUUAGUGUGAUGAGCUCAUUUAAUGAAUUUACUAAUGCAUUGCAAAUGUUUGAAUGAAUCUGAGUAUGAAUUAGAUUGAGGUUAGUUAAAUUUUAAGUUUAAUGUUAGUGUUUAGGAAAGUUAGAAAGAGUUAGUUGGGAUUGAAAAUCUGUUAGGAGAUAGUUUGAACUGAACUUUGCAGUUAGUUUGCAUACUGAUGAUUGUGAGGUUAAGAAUCAAUUCACAUGUUAAUACUCUUUUGAAUUUUAGUUAGGAUUGUGAAUCAGUUAACUUUCCAGUUGAAUUUUGUAGUAGGUUUGAGGUUUGAAUUAAAAUUAUCUAUAUGUGAUAGACACUAUGCAAGUUGGCAGUUAGGGGGUUGAUUUAUUUGAAUGUGAAAUCAGAACUGUUAUGUGACAAUGCAUUGCUAUGAAGUUGAGUUAUGAAUGAUACUGUUAUACUUUGAAUUGUUAUUUUAGUGCUUAGUUGUAAUCUAAGAAUGUGUUAGGGUUCUGUUAGUUAGAAUUGAACUGUUUGUGAAGGUUUUUAGAGUUAGUCUUGUUAAAGGUCCUGUUAUGGAAUUAUGAAAUGUAACUCUAUUAGUUAUUUAGGAAAUUUGGUUAGGAUGUUAUGUAUGAACUAAGUGUAUUUGUAAACCUAAUUGAAUGUUAAUUGAGCUAUUAUGCUGCUUUGGUGAAUGUUAAUGAAUUUUGCAUUGUUUUUUGGUAAUGAAAUAGUUAUGGUGAUUUGAAUGGAAGUUAACUAGCUAUUGAUGAAUGUAAGUUGGUUUAAAGUUUAGAAAAACUUAAUAGAACUAUUAUGCAUGAAAUGGCUAUGCUGAAAUGAUGUUUGAACAAGUUUGCAGUGCCCUUAGAUCAAUGGAGUGACUGCCAAUUUGUUAGGGCUGCUAGUGAGUUGAUAGAAGCUAAUGACAAUUAGCAAUUUUCAACCGUUAGUAUGAUGGUGCAUUACUUGGACUUUCAUUAUUGGAUAUGGACAUGACAUAAAGAAUAUUUUUGUAUUUGACAUGAAUGUUUUGAUGAAUUGCAGGCUGUUAUUUAUGUGAGUCUUGAAGCAUCAUUCAUGAAGUUCCUCUCUUGCCAUUUCAUCGCUCUAGGAAGUGGACUACCGAUACCAGCAAUCUGAGACAAUCCUCUCUUGCCAACUGUUGGAAAAUACUCAUGAACCCAACAUUGUUGCACAACAUGAAUAUUAUCAAUUAAAAUUAUUAUAAAUAAGUUAAUAUAAGUCAAAAUAAAAUUAAAAUUAAACAUUUGUACCUGUAGCAAAAAGGCAUAUCCCCUAAGUUGCUUGGAAGUAUAAAAGGAAGCAUCCCCUAGAUAUUUGUAGAGUGUGACAAGUGCAUAUAGGCUAUAACUGCACAGUCAAAUCUACUCUCAGCUCGUUGACGCGUAAAAAUGGUGCAGCCUACCAACAAUAGCAUAUACGCUAUAAAAAUCUAUUCUCAGCUCGCUGACGCGUAAAAAUCUCCUUCAACCAAUCCAACCUAUAAUAAUCACCCAUACAAAACAUCUCUAAUUGUCUCCUCCAACAAAAUACCCAAUAGAUCAAUAUCCAG
rnacentral:lncRNA from 1 species